rnacentral:snRNA from 1 species
UUACCACUCUGGCCUUUUGGCUUAGAUCAAGUGUAGUAUCUGUUCUUUACAGCAUAACCGCUGUAACGGGGGCACUGCCCC